rnacentral:rRNA from 1 species
UACGUAGGGAGCAAGCGUUGCCCGGAAUCAUUGGGCGUAAAGCGCGCGUAGGCGGCCCUGUAAGUCCGUUGUGAAAGUCAAAGGCUCAACCUUUGAAAGCCGAUGGAUACUGCAGGGCUAGAGUCCGGAAGAGGCGAGUGGAAUUCCUGGUGUAGCGGUGAAAUGCGUAGAUAUCAGGAGGAACACCUGUGGCGAAAGCGGCUCACUGGACCAUAACUGACGCUGAGGCGCGAAAGCUAGGGGAGCAAACAGG